rnacentral:tRNA from 1 species
UGGGGUAUCGCCAAGAGGAAAGGCAGCAGACUUUGACUCUGCCAGCGUAGGUUCGAUUCCUGCUACCCCAA